GACGAACGCUGGCGGCGUGCUUAACACAUGCCAGUCGAACGGAAAGGCCCUGCUUUUGUGGGGUGCUCGAGUGGCGAACGGGUGAGUAACACGUGAGUAACCUGCCCUUGACUUUGGGAUAACUUCAGGAAACUGGGGCUAAUACCGGAUAGGAGCUCCUGCUGCAUGGUGGGGGUUGGAAAGUUUCGGCGGUUGGGGAUGGACUCGCGGCUUAUCAGCUUGUUGGUGGGGUAGUGGCUUACCAAGGCUUUGACGGGUAGCCGGCCUGAGAGGGUGACCGGCCACAUUGGGACUGAGGUACGGCCCAGACUGCUACGGGAGGCAGCAGGGGGGAAUAUUGCACAAUGGGCGGAAGCCUGAUGCAGCAACGCCGCGUGCGGGAUGACGGCCUUCGGGUUGUAAACCGCUUUCGCCUGUGACGAAGCGUGAGUGACGGUAAUGGGUAAAGAAGCACCGGCUAACUACGUG
rnacentral:rRNA from 1 species